CACUCAGCGGGGUGUGGAGGCGGGGAAGGAGGAGGAGUAAAGGUUGUUUACAAACUUUACGUACAGUCUCUGCCCCAUCCGUAAAGUUCUGGAAUUGGGGUUUACAAUCUUUGGAUCUAGGGGCGUUCUGAUGACCUGGGUUCCAGUGCCCGACUUAUGCCCACCCUGGCCAUAACCUUUGGAAGAAUUGAAGGAUUCCUGCGCUUUGGCCCUAGGUCUUGGGGCAGCGAUGACUCACCGCAGCACCCCCUUACCCCCCCGUGCGUCAAACUGCCGUCUCCGCCCACCCCCAAACAAGCUCAACAGCUAGCCGCAGCUCCGGGCGCUUUGCUGGGGGCUCGAGGGGCUCAACCCCAUGCCCGUAUCCCAGCAGGAUAAAACCUUCCCCAUCCUAGUCUUCAGGCUUGCCUCGCUCCCCACCAGACCCUUCGGACACUUCGUAGAAGAGUGGAGAUGGAUGCGACAUCCAGACCGGGGACACUGAAUCCACCAACAACGCGAGCAGAAGCGGCAACCGAGUGCCCCGGCAAAGUCCUGGAGGUUCAUUCAUCCAGCAGUCUUCACCUCUGUUGAGCCUUGCCCCUUUACCUGGUGCUAGAAGCUGAGGACACAGAAGAACAGGACACUCCUGGAACUCAUGUCUGGUGUCUGGCUGAGAACAGAACAUGCCACUACUCUGUUAUACUGCUCUUCUAUCCGGAUUUCUAUAUUCCGUCAUUCUUCUCAAAUAAAACUUGGACCUGCUUCUUUCCCUUUGAAUGCUGAAGGCUCCGUCUCCAGGUUCCCUUGCUGGAAGGCAUAUUAUGAAAUGGGAUGUACCAUCAGAGAUGAAGCUGGAGCUGUGUGUGCUACACCAACGUUCUGACUCAAUCCUGCUGACGUCUCUUUGCCAAACAUCUUUUCAGCUAUCAGAGUUAGUAAGUCUGGGGCGCAUUUUGAUCCGAUGAUGUAUGUAUAUAGAAGGAUGGAUGAAUGCUUGAGGAUGAACUUCGAAUCUUGAAGGAAUCAUGUGCUAUUGUGCUCUUUGAAAAGCCCGAGGAAUGCUUUUGUGGGGUCUACCCCAGAGAAGGCUGGUGGUGUGUUUGUGGCUAACACCUUGCAAAGGGGGAAUCCGGGUGUUGCUGCUCAUGUUUUCUCUCUGGAGCAAAAACCAAGGUGCCUAUAAGAUUGCAUCAAUAGUUCCAAGGUGUUAUCCAAGCCCAGUCCUGGGUCCACUGCACUCUGGAAAAUGCCUUCAGCAUUUGAGCUAAACCACUGAGAAAGGCAAGGAAGCUGACCCAACUACUCUUUUUUUGUGCCAGUCAUUUAACCCCAUGCUCUCAGCCCUGGCUAGCCUACUGGGACUGGAAAUGGACCACUCCUUCCCUUUCACACUGACUUCCGCUUGAGAGCAGGAAAGCACCCCUUUCCUCUUUGAAGUGGACCCGGAUGCAGAUUCAACUGGUUUUAACUCUUUUUCAAACUUGAUUAAUAGUCCUUUAAGUCAAUUCCUGGUAGGAGGUGGGUCCUGCACACAUAAUUUUUUUUUUUUCGUAAAUAAGGAAGUGAGUAAUUCCUAAGUUUUAGGCCAGGAAGAAAAUCUGGAACUUUACCAAGUUCAUUACAUUUGGGGGGAAAAGCUAUAAAAGGUAUUUUUAAAUAAAUUUAUUUAAGAAAUCAUGCAGAAUUCCAUUAUCUAGCAAUAAUGUUUUUCCCAUUUCUGUUUUUUAAAAAUCUAGUCUUCUCAAUCUUAAAACAAUAAAAGUGGGAUAAUGGCAUCUAAAUUUUUGCAGAAUGCAUUUCUUUACUAAAAAUCUUUUGAUCAUUUUCCUAUAUCUAUAAUUCCUAAAUAUUUUCAAAAACUUGAUAUGCAAUGUCACCUAAUGAUCGACAGAAUCCUCUUUGAGAAAUGCUAUAUAAAAUCCAACCAGGAAAUCUAUCAAGGAAGUUAACAGAGAAGGCUCUAGUAAGAAAAACCUGGAUUUGAAUCCUGGUUCUCCCACUAACCAACAAAAUUAGCAUCAAUAAUACAUAAAUAAUAAAGUCAUAACAGUUAUUCACCACCUACGAUGUGACAGGCACUUUGUGAAGGUUGCAUGUGUUAAUUUCACUUGCUCCUAGAACCCCAUGUGGCUGGUGCUAUUAGUAUUCCUACAUUGCAGAUGAGGACGUAGAGGCUAGGGAAUGUUUCCUGCUUAAGCUCACAAGGUGAAUCAAUAUGAACUUGAUCUGGCCUGUGUCCACUCUGCCAGAUUCAGUUCCCACCCUCCUCCUCUGGCUGUUGGAGACCUGGUUCCCCCCAACCCCCACCAUUAGUCCCUAACACUGGGCUACUUCUCAUUCCCAGCCUUAGCACCAACACUAACACUUAUCCCUCCUCUUCACCCUUUAUGCUUCCCCCUAAAUGCCACUUGCUGCAGGAAGCCUUCCUGGUACUCCAUUACACACUUUCUUCAUUAUACAUUCUCUUCAUUCAUGUGCACAUUUUCAUUGAGGGAAAACUUACAGGGAUUAGUUCUUUUUGUAACUAUGAGUUCAUUAUCCAUCUCCCUUGCUAGACUGAGGCUCCAAGGUGCCCUCGCAUCUGUAUUUCACCCGACAAUACAAAUAAGUGACUCACUAGUGACAAGUCAUUCUCAAUUCUUCAGCCAGCAAUAUGGUCGGUUCCCAUUAGCUCAUUUCUAAACCUGUGGCUUUCAGCAUGACAAAAGGGAAGUAUGAAAGAUGCACGGAAUUGCUAAGUUAAAUUGCAGGACUUUGGGUGACUAACCUUGAGAAGCAGCGGGUUUUGAAAGCCAUUUCAUUCUCUGUUCCUUUUAGAACAGAAGCUUGAAUGUGUCCACACCAUUUUUGCCAAAAGAGUAAGUGGAUGGCUGAGGAGGGAGUGCAUUUACACGGCUUUUCCAACAGCAUGAAGCUUUAAGCCCAUGGAACUGUCCCCAAACAAAAAUUUGGUCUUGGCCACCUAGCUUCUCCCACCCUGGUGAGUCAGGUGGAAGAAUGGGAUAAGUGUCCUAGAGGGUGUUGUUCUAAGGCUUGCUUUCUCCUGUAAGGGGCACUGCUGCCUCAGUUUCCAUGGCCAAAUAAAGGAAAUGGUGCAUCAAAACUUGUCUUGAAAAUUCACGAUGCAAAUGAGCACAUUAGUGAGGCUGGGAAGUCCUGCAGGGGGAAAAAAAUCUUGUUCAUUUUCUCAGUUCCUAAGUUUAUUUGGCCAUGUUUAGACAUAGCAUGCUGUCUUGGGUUAGAUUGUGCCAGAAGCAGACCCUGAGAUAAGAAUUUAAGUGCAAGAAGGUUUAUUUGGGAGGUGAAUUUAUAAAAAGCACCAGAACAGGGGAAAGGAAGAGAGAUUGGAAAGGGAAGGAGGCCAGUCCAGGGGGCAUUCAUGAGAAAUUUACGUUUGGAGGCAACUGAAACUCAGCCUUGCGGGGGACCCAUGGGAGGGGCCCACCACAGAGGUGACCUGUCUCAGGAGUGAGGAAGCUAGAUUUUAUGCACCAGCUCUCAUUAGUCAUGCACUGAGGGCUGCUUUGGGGGCCACUAGCUCCCUUGCACUUCUGGCCUGCUCUGUAUGGUAUCUAGAGAAUGAUGGCAGGCAAAGACUAGCAGGUGCUCCCAAGAGACUACUGGUUGUCAUGCACGGGAACUAUGAGUGCCAAGGGCAGAUGGGUGGGAGAAUGCCCGCUGCACCGGUGUCCCUCUUUACAUUUUCCUUUUUCACACAGGGCACCCAUUCAUUCCUGGUGGAAGUAGUACUUGAGGACCAAAAUUUGGAAAACAAAAUUCCAAAAUUUGGAAUUCAAGCAGUUCAUUGAGUUCCCAGAAGCUAUCCUCUAGCCGAACACAAGGAGUCAAUGCUAUGCUAUAGUUUGUAAAACCCCAAAGGGAAUUCCUGUAAAUGCCACCAAAUAUCAAACAUAUAAAUCUCAAGGCUCAGCAGAAAGAGCCUUGAAAAAUCAUAACUUAUGGGAUGUUACAUCAAAAAGUCUUCUAAGGAUCCAAACUUAGAAUCACGUUUUAACUCAGGCUGUGUGUGAAAGAGAAAAGUUCUCUUUCCCACAGCCAAGGGCACAGAGAAUGCCAUAUUAACAGUGUCCUAUGUGUGGUGACACAGGCUACAUCCAUAACAAGCUAGAGGUUGUCAUAUGGAGGUACAAAGACAUAGAGCUAUGAGGACCCCACUUCUAUGGAAUGUUUUACAUUCUAGCAAAGUCAGACAAUAUAAUAUCAGUAAACCAAGAGAGAAAAUGUUCAUAGGUGGUAGUAAAGGUUAUGAAGUCAUUUAAAAGGAUAAUGGGAGAGAGAGUAGCUGGGGGGAAAUUACUUAAGGCUGAGUGAUCCGGAAUGGCAUCUUUGAGGAGGUAAAAUAUGACCUGACAUCUCCUUGCUUCAGCAGAAGAGAAAGAGGGGACUUCAGGAGGACAGAGCAGCAAGUUCAAAGGCCCUGAGAUGGGAAUAUGAUUGGAGUAUUUAAGGACAGGAGCCUGGAUCACCCUGAAUGAAGGGUAGAGUGUAACAGUAAGGUUGACAAGGAAGGCUACAGCUGGAACAUGCUGGGUGCAAAUUUGGUGUGUUUUUCCAACCAUUUCAUUGUUCUUAAGGGAAAAAAAAAAAAAAACCAACCCAAAGCAUCAGAGAACAUUCGCUGAGUACCAAAUGUUCCCACGUUCUAGAUUUCUGAGAAAUCUAAGGAAAUUCAUCAAAUUCUAUCUCCAGGCAGCCAUCCUCAUGGUCUCAUCUCAUUCUUCAGCAUCUCCCACCAAGACCUCAAAUGGGCUCACAGAUUAAGACCAGCCCCUAAAAGUUGAAUGCUGACCUGCUCUUCAAAGAUCUCAUGUCCCAGUCCCAGAAAGCAAUCAUGCACAGAAAGAGGGCACAAUGUUGCUAGGAUCCACUUCUUGCUGGAAGGAUGUCUGCUGGGUCUAUACCAUCUGAUCUCACCAAUGGCUUCAAUUCAGCCCCUUGAGACAUACCCAAGUGUGGUCCCCUUCUGGACUGCCAUUCACUGACUACAGGAAGGAUCUCCAGUGGCACAGCCAUAAGACUUCCUCAGAUUGUCCCCGAGGAUGAUAUUGGGGUAUCUGUCUCAGGAAUGCACUUAGCCUUGUAAGGCAAGAGAAGGGUCUCUCUGGCAAAGCCAGGGUCAGGAGAUGAGGGAAAAGAAGAGGCCAGAUCCUGGCCUGUGGGGACAGGGACAUCACAACAGAGGGCCCUGUCACCCUGCAGGAUCCUGAACAAACCUCAAUUUUAUUUCACAGCUGGUUCCUGGGCACCGGAUGUAUGCAGACAGAGCAGGGCACUCCUACAGAAGUGGGUAAAGCAUGGGCCCUGCCCUCAAGGGGCUAUCCUGUCAAAGAAAGAAACACUGACUAUUCCUGGUCAUACCAUGCAGAAUGAGAUCAGGGUCAAAAGGGACAUUCAAACAGAGAACUUCAGGAGAGUACGGGGAGGAGAAAUUAAUAAGCUCACUGCCUUUCUCUGGCUUGAUGAUAGUUAACUGGGCUAACCAGAUACAGGUAGGACUUUAUGGCUCCCUUGUCACACUCAUGAGUCAGGCUUUUUUAGCUGAGGAAAAGGCAACAGAGAACUAUUGUCAAGAGAUGCAGGGAAGUGAGAAGGACAGGAAAACAGCUCAUGAAGAGCUCAAACAAUGUCCCCUAUUCUGCAAAAUAACAGCAACUCUGAGGGUUAGGUACUGAGUUAUCUUCUCACGGAAGGGUUCUCUCCCACCCUCACUACCUUCAGCUUGUGCUCCCACUGUUCCCUCUGCAUCUGGGUCCUUCUCUAAAAAUCUUGUUUUUAGCAGAGCCCUAGACAGAUAGUCUGUUGGGUGUGAAGAUCACCUCUUACAUUACACUUAACCUUGGCCAGGUUGCUUCACCUCUGUUGUGCCUCGAUUUCCUAAUCUGUGACAGGUGGAUAUUAAUAGUACCUACCUUAGAUGGAUUUUGUGAGGAUUAAAUUAGUAAAUACACAGAGACAGAAUGAUGCUAUUUCUAUUGUUAGGCUAGGGUUCCCUAACUGUGGCAAGGGUAGCAAGGGUCUCAUGGACAAAAUGCCUAUUUACCCGUUCUAUUUACUUCCAAGGCAGCUAGGGAUAUUAGAAGUGCAAGGUCUCCUAAAUGCUUAGAAUCUCUUAGAUUCUUUUCAUCUGUAUCACAGGCACAUUUCAAAAUAAAUUUUAAAACUUAAAUCCUACCAUAAAAUAAUACAGGUUCAUUAAAAACUAUUUAGAAAAAAAAUAGCAGAUGAAAAUCACAGAGUAGAGGACAUACGAUUUGAGGGGAAUCAGCUCUCCUGACCAUACAGUAAUCCUGCUUAAUCCAUGUGGUUUGCACGGAGUUGACCUUGCUACAGGCGUGGGCCAGUGGACAGGGCAGACUCUCCCCAGACUUCUGCUGGAGCUACUGAAAGACGCUCUUUUCUUCUGGGACCCAUAGCACAUAGGAUCAAUAUGUUUGACGAUUCUGAUGGUGAAGAAUAGAGAAGAAAGCAGAUUCUAGCUUUCUGGAUGAAUAGAAAAAAAGGUGGGAAAUGCAAGCUCUCCAACAACAGUGUGAGGGCCUAGAUCCGGUGGUGCCUGAAACUAUAACAUCUAUUUGCUGGCCAAAAAGUUAUGGUCAAAAAGACUGGCUCAUGCCGGUCUGUUUCUUCCAUACAUUUUUUCACUUCAACUAGUUUUGGCUGAGGUUCUGUUACUUGUAAAUGAAAUCAUUUUGAACAACCAUCCAGAAAUAGCCACAUUUACAUGUGUGUAUACUUCCUUCCAGUCUUUCUUUCUCUUUCAAGCUCUCUGCAUAGUUUUGUGUGUUUUUUUAAUGAGAGGGGAUCUUAAUCUACAAAUUUUAAUACUUUUUUUCCUUCCUGAACCUGUUACAAAAUUUGGUGCCUCUGGUUAGCACCCACGUCUUUUUGAGAGAGGACAGAAGAAAUUCUGCUGCCCCCACCCCCUCCCCUGUCACCCUUCUGCCCCCUGGAAGGUAUUUCAGAGGGCAAGGGGCUAUCCCAUGAUAUCCAUGGGUUGGCAAUUCCUUCCAUGCUCAGUUCUAUAGUGCUGGGCUGGACACCAUCAGCUUUGAUAGAGACUUUGGCCUUAGGUCAGCUUGGACUCCUGCCUGGUCUUUCAAAGCACUUUCCUUUUAAAGCCUCCAAACCCAGCAUUUUCCAUAAACAUCUUGCUUUUUUUUUUUGGAGAGAAAUUCAAGAGUGAGCAUAUUAUAUAUUGAUGGUGGUGGUCUAGAGACAAGGAAUAUGGACCAGAGUUUCAGGAACCCAAAAAGAGAUGUACAGAAUGCAUUUGACUGCCAAACAACCAUUCGGAGCGUUAUUGAAAAAUUGAAUAUGCUGUAAUGACAUGGGCGGAAUUAUAUCUGCGAUUCCUAAAGAAAAUCUGAGGUGAGGUAGCCUUUGCUUUCUAAUUAGCAUGAUCCGAUGAUGCAGGCCAUAGGACAACUUGCUAGUCAUUACGGUGCUUGCUUGUUCUGCUUAUAGCUCAAAACUAACAGCAAAGUUUGUUUUGCUAAUCUCUCCUCUGGAUUUGCGAAUUAUUUGUUUUCAUUAUCUUAAAGAUAAACUGGAAAGAAAAAUCUAACGGAGGGACAAUUUUUAUAAGACAGAACACUAGAGUUGUCUUUGGAUGUGGACGCCACGCUUAAUUUAAUAAAAACCAAAGCAGACCACAUUGGAAGCUCUAACAGAGGAAUGUGUUUGUAAUGAGGGAAGUGCCACAGGUCAGAAAACAAACAUGGGCUUCGAAACUGCGGAUCCUGGUCAUACCCACUAUUUUUAUCCUGCUGAGUGAUUCUGAGCAAGUCACAUCCCCUUCCCAGGUUCAGACUGCUCUGCCUUGAGCAGCAAGCUUACCUGCUCUGCCCAUCUCAGAGGCUCUGAAGAACACAGGAGAUAGUAUGCUUUAGAUGAUCAAGAUUUCUUUUAUAAACACAAAAUGAUAACACUAUUAUAAUAUUCAGAUAAUGCUCUCUAGAAUUUACAGAGUACUCAUGCCUCUAACAGAUGGUGCUGUUAUAAUUCCUAGCCAUCUUCCCCACUCUGUGGAUCACAGAUGUCAGCCGCUUGAGUAGAAAGAGAUUCAGUUUUAGCAUCAGGCAGUCAGGGUUUUGAACCUCAGCGCUGGCUGUGUGACCUUAGGCAAGUUAGUGCCUUCUUUGGUCUUAGAUGCAUCCUGUAGGCAACGGGGAUGAAUAAACAAACACCUGCUACCUGCCUAGCGGCCUGGAACCUUUCUGCUAGAUAGCAGGUACACGUAUGGAUUUACAGUAAGUAGUCACACGCAAGUAUUAGGGUCAAAUAGGCUGAUAGAUGAGUACGCAAUUAUAAUGACAUCGUAAUAGCUGUCAUUUUUUGAUCACUUUCUCUGCCUUGGGUGCCAUUCUAAAACCUUUACAUGCAUGAACUAAGGGAUGCUCAUAGCAGUUCUGUGAGGAAAAUGCUGUCACUCUCACCUUAUGGAUGAGCAAACUAAGGCAUGCAGGGAUAAAAUUUCUUACCGAUGGUCAUCCAGCUAAUAAGUGGCCUUGCUGGGAUAUGGCAAGGAAAGUCUGGAUCCAGAGCCUACCCUGGAAACAUUUACACUGCAUUGUCUCUCUAAUUGCUAACAUUUAGUGAGUGUUGACUGUGUGAGCUUUGCUCUACCAUUCUUGUAAGUGGUUUAUAAUGAUUAACUCAAUAUUCUCAACAAACCUUGAUUAGAGUUAUUGUUUAGUUUUUAAAAAAAUGAUGCCCAGGGAAGUUUGUCAGAUAAAUGACAAAUAAUUUUUUAUUAUAAGUAUGUCCCAUGCAAUAUACAGCAUAUGCUUAUACUAAGAAAAUACUGUUGACCUGCAAUUAAAAUUAAAAUUUAACUGGGCAUUCUAUAUUUUAUCUGACAACCCUACCCUGAGAGGGGGUGGGAACUAAUCUACUUCCUUGUACUGAGUGGACUUCAGAAAAUAGUAAUUUCUACCAUUAUUGGUAUUUUCAGGUUAUCUAUUCUGACAUCUGUUUUCAAUUGUUCCUUUAGCCAACUAAAAUCAGAAGCUAUAUACAUAAAGAAAAUAAUCGUGAUAUAUUAAUAAAACCUUAAAAUAAUAGGGCCUCUAUAACUCUUUCACAGAAACGAAAUGGAGCCUCAUGAUGACCCUGUAAGUUUUAUGCCUAUUUAAUAAUGAGAAACUGAGUCACAGAGCCAUCAAAUAAUUGCCCAAGGGCACACAAAUAAAAAAGCUAAAUU